CAGCCCCGCGGUAAUACGAAGGUCCCGAGCGUUGUUCGGAAUCACUGGGCGUAAAGGGAGCGUAGGCGGCGUGGUAAGUCAGAUGUGAAAUCCCGGGGCUCAACCCCGGAACUGCAUCCGAUACUGCCAUGCUAGAGGAUUGGAGAGGUAGCUGGAAUUCUUGGUGUAGCAGUGAAAUGCGUGGAGAUCAAGAGGAACACUCGUGGCGAAAGCGAGCUACUGGACAAUAACUGACGCUGAGGCUCGAAGGCCAGGGUAGCGAAAGGGAUUAGAUACCCCCGUAGUCCCUGUCUCUUAUACA
rnacentral:rRNA from 1 species